CAUCAAUCUCUAGAAGAACCAAACCUCAGCACCAACCUGUUCAUCAUGAUGAUCAGAAUCCUCUGCCUGAGCGUCCUCGUGCUGCUUUUCUGCACAGACAUUGAAGCUAAAAAAGAAAAGACCGAAAAGACCGAAAAGUUCAAAAAGUUCAAGUGUUUCACUUGUACAGAGAAAUACUGCAAAAAACAACAGUAUUGUAGUGAAGGACAGGUCUGCAUGAGCGCCUCUGUUAUCGAAGUCACACAUGGACAUCAGAAUAAAUCCUACUACAGGUCCUGUACGUCACCUUCAUACUGUCCAAAGAGUGAAAAAGCAGAGACCUUGUCCAUCGGCUUGGGUUAUCAGGUGUUUGUGGCGAACGUUAAGUGCUGCAAGUCCCAUCUCUGCAACAAAAAACGUCAACCCCACCCUAAGAUACCAUCAGGAAAUGGGUUGACGUGCCUUUUCUGCAGCAACACUAAAAACCCAAAGGAAUGCAAAGUCAAGGAAUGCAUUGGAAAUCAAACUCACUGCGUGCAAGUAAUCAGAAAUGGAACUCAUCAGAGUGGGUGUGCAACUAAAAACUUCUGUCACCCCAACAAGAUACUUGGACGCUACAAGCCUGUUAAUGGCUUCGCUGGUGCCCUCAGUUUUCCAGCUGAGUGUGAGAAAGCAAAACCUGCACCUGAGCCAACAACUGCUGAACCAACAACUGCUGAACCAACAACUGCUGAACCAACAACUGCUGAACCAAAGUGUGUUCCAGUUGAAACCACUCCUGAACCAACCCUUCCACCCUGUGAUAGAAAGGGAUAACUACUCCCACCACGUAAAACCAGUUUCUUUGUCUUGCUGACAAAAUCAUUAAAAGGUUGAUUAAAGUCUGGGUGAAUCUUUAGUGGAUCCUACAUCAAACAUAGAGAUCUUAACAAACUUAUCAGACCACCACCCACUGUGAGCUUAAAUCACAGCAUUGGUAAAUAUCUUUGUUUCUGUCAUUUGGCUAAUCUCCUAAACAAAAAAAAUGGUUGGUGGUUGAAUACAUUUGUUAACCAACUCAUGUGAUGUUUUGCUUUUAGUGAUGUUAUUAGAUGAUGAAUUAAUGAAGAUCAAAGCUUCUUUCAAAGGAGCUUUGAUGACUUCUAACUUCUAAAUGUGACUCUUUUAGUAAAGGUAGCAGGGCUGAGUUUCUAAUGCUUUCUUAAAAUGCUUUCUGCAUGGGAACAAUCAUUAAAGAGGUGAAAUAAAACUAUCAGCAAAC
rnacentral:lncRNA from 1 species